UCGGGGAACCCCCAGCUCUGUUACCCCGACCCGCAGAAGAUCAACUGGAAGGACGUUCUGGGUGAACAACAAACAGACGGCAAGUUAACACGCCUGCAGUCGGCAGCACCUUACUGUCAACCUUGUCCAGCAGCCUGUCGCUCCAGAGGAUGCUGGGGACAAACUGAGGACGACUGCCAAACAUUGACCCACGUCCAGUGUACGUCCAGCUGUUUGCGC